rnacentral:rRNA from 1 species
ACGGGAGGCAGCAGUGGGGAAUAUUGGGCAAUGGGCGCAAGCCUGACCCAGCAACGCCGCGUGAAGGAAGACGGUCUUCGGAUUGUAAACUUCUGUUCUUAGUGAAGAUAAUGACGGUAGCUAAGGAGCAAGCCACGGCUAACUACGUGCCAGCAGCCGCGGUAAUACGUAGGUGGCAAGCGUUGUCCGGAUUUACUGGGUGUAAAGGGAGCGCAGGCGGGAAAUCAAGUUGGAUGUGAAAUGUCGGGGCUUAACCCCGGAACUGCAUCCAAAACUGAUUUUCUUGAGUGAAGUAGAGGUAGGCGGAAUUCCGAGUGUAGCGGUGAAAUGCGUAGAUAUUCGGAGGAACACCAGUGGCGAAGGCGGCCUACUGGGCUUUAACUGACGCUGAGGCUCGAAAGUGUGGGGAGCAAACAGGAUUAGAUACCCUGGUA